rnacentral:rRNA from 1 species
UACGUAGGGUGCGAGCGUUGUCCGGAAUUAUUGGGCGUAAAGAGCUUGUAGGCGGUUUUGUCGCGUCUGCCGUGGAAAUUCGAGGCUCAACCUCGAACUUGCGGUGGGUACGGGCAGACUGGAGUACUGCAGGGGAGACUGGAAUUCCUGGUGUAGCGGUGGAAUGCGCAGGAUAUCAGGAGGAACACCGGUGGCGAAGGCGGGUCUCUGGGCAGUAACUGACGCUGAGGAGCGAAAGCGUGGGGAGCGAACAGG